rnacentral:rRNA from 1 species
UUCCCCUAGUAACGGCGAGUGAAGCGGGAAGAGCUCAAAUUUGUAAUCUGGCACUUUCAGUGUCCGAGUUGUAAUCUCGAGAAGUGUUUUCCGCGCCGGACCGCAUACAAGUCUGUUGGAAUACAGCGUCAUAGUGGUGAGAACCCAGUAACUGAUGCGGAUGCCCGGUGCUUUGUGAUACACUUUCGAAGAGUCGAGUUGUUUGGGAAUGCAGCUCAAAUUGGGUGGUAAAUUCCAUCUAAAGCUAAAUAUUGGCGAGAGACCGAUAGCGAACAAGUACCGUGAGGGAAAGAUGAAAAGCACUUUGGAAAGAGAGUUAACAGUACGUGAAAUUGUUGGAAGGGAAACACUUGACGUCAGACUUGCGUUUCGGAGUUCAGCCGUAAGGUGUAUUCUUCGAUUUGCAGGCCAGCAUCAGUUUUUGGGGGUGGAAAAUCGUGGUUUGAAGGUAGCAGUUUCGGCUGUGUUAUAGCUUUCCACUGGAUUCACCUUCGGGGACUGAGGAACGCAGUACGCUUUUUGCAAGGCUCUCGAGCUUUUCGUACUUAGGAUGCUGGUGGAAUGGCGUUAAAUGACCCGUCUUGAAACACGGACCAAGGAGUCUAACAUGCUUGCGAGUGUUUGGGUGUCAAACCCGAACGCGCAAUGAAAGUGAAUGGAGGUGGGAUCCGCAAGGUGCACCAUCGACCGAUCUGGAUUUUCUAUGAUGGAUUUGAGUAAGAGCAAUUAUGUUGGGACCCGAAAGAUGGUGAACUAUUCCUGAAUAGGGCGAAGCCAGAGGAAACUCUGGUGGAGGCUCGUAGCGGUUCUGACGWGCAAAUCGAUCGUCAAAUUUGGGUAUAGGGGCGAAAGACU